AUGCAGGUGGAGUACCGGGCGCUGAUGGAGAACGCAACCUGGCGGCUCGUACCACGCCCACCCGGCGUCAACGUCGUCACCGGAAAGUGGCUGUUUUGCCACAAGUUCAAGGCGGACGGGGCGCUCGAACGGUACAAAGCACGCUGGGUCCUGCGCGGGUUUUCCCAGCGACCUGGCGUGGACUUCGACGAGACGUUCUCUCCCGUCGUCAAGGCCGCCACGAUCCGCGUCGUGCUCACCAUUGCCGCCGCACGCAACUGGCCAGUCCAUCAAAUGGAUGUCAACAACGCCUUCCUCCACGGGCGUCUCGCCGAGCGCGUCUACUGUCAACAACCUGCGGGCUUCGUCGACAAGCACCACCCCGAGCACGUGUGCCUCCUCGACAAGUCGUUGUACGGCCUCAAACAGGCGCCACGCGCGUGGUUCGCCCGGUUC
rnacentral:rRNA from 1 species